ACUGGCAGGGCUGGGAGCAGGAUGAGCAGGGGUAUGUCCCUAAGACAUUCUGUGGGCUUUUUUUUUUUUCUUUUCCAUUUUAAAAUAUAAUUGUCAGCUCUGAUCUCACACAGGAUUCCACCUAAUUCCUUGCAUGUGAAAGCAGACCGCAGAACAACUGAUGUGAAUUUGCCACACAGCAUUAUCUUCAUCUGCUUGUGUCCCCGCCUGCUAGAGGCAGAGCACAGCCUUGGCAGAUGUUGUCCUGCAAUGGUUUUGUGGUCCUCUGUGGUUUCUUUUCCCCUCCAGCUGCCUGAGGGGAAGGAGCAUGUUUCUCUUCCUUCUUGGCUGGAGCAGAAGCAGAGGUGAAUGUGACUCUUCUGCCUGGCACUGCUCUCCCCUGCAGCCUCCUGUGACGGGCUCUGCCAGCCUCACUGACAGCAGAUGUCAGGACGCUACUGCCAGCCUGCAUGAGGCACAGGCUGAGCAUCACCACAGCAGAUGAUUUCUGUGACCUAUGAGAGCCGUCAGCUGUCAGGGAGGUAAAGCAAGCAGCCCAUGUUCACCUCUGUGCAAAGUACUUCACAGUGGGAAGCUCUACCAGAAAUCACACUGCCCUAGGGGAAGGAAGCAACAGCAGCAUGUAUCUGUGGCACCUUCGCUGUAGGAGCACCAUCUUGUAGGGCUUCCUAGCCAGCAGAGGAAACUGGAUACUAAAUGUGCUCUCAUGCACGCCAAUAAUUCCCCUGCUUUGAGUCCCAUUUCACGUAUAAAGACCAGAGAGGUGUCAAGCGAUUAGUAGCACCUUAGAUUUGUGUAAUUAGAUCAAGUCUCCAGAAAGCUGUCUGAUGCAAUGUCUGCAAGGAAACCGGACACGGUGAAUCCUGAGCCUCCUCAAACCGCUUUGUUUCGCCUGGAGAUUUCCUUACUGAGGACUUCAUGAGGGAACAGGGUGAGCGCUGCCAGCCUGUGUUCGGCUUCCAGUGCCUUAAACAGAAGUGAUGUGGCCGUCGGGAGGGUGUCAGCUCCUAUUGGGGUUAUCUACAGAGCCAGGACAGGAGGGAAGGAGAUGCCUGGGAGCACCAGCGCAGGAUGGAGAGAGUGCCGCAGGACUUCAAGUUCAGGACCCAGAGCAUCCUGUAAGGGCACACAGGGUUUUUAUCCUCAUUCCAACACAAUGGGUAAUUAAGGAGCAGCAGGUUGAGACUCUUAGGCUGCCUGCAGCUGGAAACAAACCUCUUGCAGAGGCUCAUGUCUAUGUUCAGCCCACAAGAGCAGAAGCCAAGUGAGUACAGCCAUGAUGGGAGCAGCAGUGCUUAAGCCAUACUGAAAGCUUGCUACCGGGUCUAUUUCAAGCAAUACUUCUUCCCUUCUACCUUCCUCAUUAAGAGGGGGACACUCCUUGCUUCAUUCAUAUUCACUCCAGACCUCUGACUUUCCAGUAACUGCUGCAUGGGCUCAGAGAGCAAACAGAGCUGAAAGGCAGUGCCUCUGAGCUCUUUAGGACACAGGCUCCAAAUACAGAUCCAGAAAAAGCAAAAAGAACCAAAACCACUUCAGAAUUUGCCUUUUUGAAAAAGUCAUUUCUACAACAAGGCUUGUUUCACCCUCAAGAGUCUCCAAGUCCACUAAAAAUAGUGCUGAUGUUGACAGUACUUCAAUCUGAUGGGCUGUUUGCGUGCCUCCUGAAACACAGCCUAACCAAAGCGACACCGUACUGUUGGUCAUUUGGGACAGGCAGCUUGUUCUGUGCUUUUAAAAAUCUGUGUUAUGAAGUAAGAGUGGGGGUGUAUCUGCACAACCAGGCCAAAUUAUCUUACUAGCUUUGGUUAGUUAGCAACUCAGGCAGAGGUUAAAAAAGGGGGGAGGGGAAGAGUUACAACCUUCUCCCAGAAAAAGAAAUGAAACCUACCAGUCUUCAUCUAUUUAAGGUUCUUGGGAUUCUUCCUGGUCUUUCUUUGGGAAAUACCCUGUGAUAACUUUGACAGAGAAAGGACAUCAGAACCUGGCCUCUCCCCUUGCAAUGGGAUCUGUGCCUUUUGUCCUGUGUGCAGCUCUUGGCACCCGGAGGGGUGUGCUUCAGGGCAGCCGUCUGGCCCUCAGGCUAACUAUAGCACAGGAACUACCAUUAUCAACAUUUGCAUUCCCCAAAUUCCUUUGCAGAUCUCCACUGGGAUAAUAUCAUAGUUAUUCUUUGUUUGCAAAUAUAGAUACUUUACCGGACUAAUUAGCUGGGAACUGCAUUUAAAUUGAUGCCACAUGACACAAUUUGAGUUUUGUUAAACAGUCAUGUUAUGAAAAAGUGACCUUGGCUCCGUAAGCCUGGGGCAUGAGUGAUUCGUGUUCAGCAGAUGGGAGGAAGGAAAAAGGUUGAAUGCAAACCAAACCAAGGGCUUGCAGAGAACAACAGGUUACAGUGAAACUGCUGCCACAGCCGGCCCCUUAUUGGGCUCCAUUGUACAGGUGGAGACACAGAGGCCCACGGAGAUCAGUGCUGGAAUUAACUCCAAUUAGCUGGAAUUAACUCCACAAUUACUAACGUGCUCAGGCCAGCCCUCAUUCUAAAAAGUGAUAAAAAUAUUUUAAAACCUUCUAUAAAUAAUAUGCCUUGUUUUCUCUCAUUGGAGGUUACAGACUGUGAUAAUCUUCUAGCAGCCCAGGUGCUGCUCCUGCGUGAUUGCCUUCCCCUGCAACUCGUGUGAUUAAGGCCGGAGCAGGGAUGGGUUUCACUGGGGUAAUUUCUAAAUUAAGCCCUUAAGUAUCCAACUAAUUUUGAUUUCACCAGGAGUUAAGCACCUGCUUAGCUCUAAGUACCUGCUUAAACACGGGGCUGAAGUGGGGCUCGGUGGAGGCUGAUCCUGACGGUGCUGGGAAGGUUCAGGCUGAGCAGGGAACCUCUGCCUGCACGGUGAAAUCAGAGUGGUGCAGCAACACGUUCAAAGCAAAGCCCGCUGCCAACAAUUUACAUUGCUCAAAAGCGUGUUUUCAUCCCACCUGAGGGCUGCCGCAUCGCCUUGCAAUUUCUGAGACUGACAGGCUGCCAGUGUAAAAGGCCCUUGGCCGCUCAGGAACAAUUAAUUGGUGACACUGGCAAUUAUGCUGGGAUUGAUCACCUCCCUCCUCAGGUUCAUUCAGACUGCAGCAAUAAUGAUAGCGCACCAUGCUCUCUGGUUAUGACAGGACUUGAUUUGUGGUCUUUACAGAAAUUAAUUGGAGUUCAAAUCAACAGUCUCAGAAGCUAAGUUCAUAAUAUCUACAAAGAAGUGGCAAAAAUCUCCACUGCGGCUCUUCCAUUUCAUGCCAGUUUGCAAGUUGAAGGUGGUUUUUUGUUUGUUUGUCUGUUUUUAGUGGCAAUAUUAAUGGGAAAUGCUCUUUUCAGCAGGGAGGCAAAAAUACGUGUACCUGUGCUGAACACCUCAAUAGCACAAGGGGAUAUUUAAGAUCUGUAUGCCUAAAAAAAGUUGGGCAACAUCAUUUGUAGGCCAGAAGUACUAGCAGUGAACAGUGGCCAAGCUGAAUAUUGCCAAGUUUGAAUCGGAGGGUAUAAACAGCUCCAUUUUAAAAGCUUUUUCCUUCCAAACUCUCCUCUGGUAUUGUGUAAACGGUGAACCUGAAGCAAGAGCAAGGCAGACAAGAGUUGUGUGGCUGCUGCUGAGCACACCGUGCCAUUGGGAGGGCUCUGGCUGAGGGCUCUGCAGGGCAGCGGUCAUCUUUCUGCUGUGUCCUUGUGCAGCUCCAGAUAACAAGUGGGCUUCCAUGCUCCUAAGGUAAGAGCAAUAACAUUAAUGAUAAACUCGUGUGUUGAUGCUGAGAACAAGGGAGCAGACCACUGGAGCCAUCUUCUUGAAGGGAGGGACCAACCCAACAAGUCAAAGGCCCAACUUUUUGCUCCUCACUGUCAGCUGAGGUCCUGUGAUGAUCACAGAGGCUUUGUGCCUCAGUUUCUCCUCGUGGUAUCACACAUGUCACAGAGCUAGUAGCAGGGAGAACAGCACCCAAUGCCUUGCCUUGCUUGAGGUAUGCAACUGCAGUUAGGGACAGCUGCUGCAACAGAUAAUCCAAAGACCAAAAGCAAAAGGAUCUGUGCAAGCUGUCCUGCUCAAUCCGGUUACACCCACGUCCUAGGAACAGCAGGCCCCUCUCCUCCUGCUCCUGUUACUCACCUGGGGACACCACCUAAACGAGCCGUGCCCGAAGGAAGCUAUUUCUGCUCUUGGGUUAGUGACCCAUCAGCUUUACUCCGCUCCUGAUUCAUCCCAGAGGCUGUUGCCUGCUGCCCCGAUAGAGCCCCGCUCGCUAUUUCUGCAGGCAGUGCAACGCAGGCCGCGACAAAUCAAACCAUAAUUCAGUCCAAAUCUGAGCCAUACAUCUCUGCUUAAACAGCACGGUCUAGGAGCAAAAUGGAAACAGAGUGAUUUUCAUGCUGAAGGACUAACGUGGCACCGUGGAGUUUGUAGGUACCUGCUGUAGCAAUCACAGGAAAUAUCAUACGAUUUAAA